AUGCACGCUGGCGGCGUGCCUAAUCCCUGCCAGUCGAGCGAACAGACGCGUAUCUUUCUCCUCUUACUUUUUCGGCGUACUGUUUAUUAACACUUUGUUAACCUACCUUUUAUUCUUUGUUAACUUCGGUACACCGUAUCUAUUUCCUGUUAAUUUCUUUAUCCCCCUGGUUUAAUAUUUUUAUACGGUUUUUCUUUUACUUAUUUAUUUAUCCUCGCCGCAUUAGCUAGUUGGUAAGGUAACGGCUUACCAAGGCAACGAUUCGUAGCCGACCUGAGAGGGUGAUCGGCCACACUGGAACUGAGACACGGUCCAGACACCUACGGGAGGCAGCAGUAGGGAAUAUUCCGCAAUGGGCGAAAGCUUGACGGAGCAACGCCGCGUGAGUGAUGAAGGUCUUCGGAUCGUAAAACUCUGUUAUUAGGGAAGAAAAAAUGUGUAAGUAACUAUGCACGUCUUGACGGUAACUAAUCAGAAAGCAACGGCUAACUACGUG
rnacentral:rRNA from 1 species